GAUGAACGCUGGCGGCGUGCCUAAUACAUGCAAGUCGAGCGAACAGACGAGGAGCUUGCUCCUCUGACGUUAGCGGCGGACGGGUGAGUAAUACGUGGAUAACCUACCUAUAAGACUGGGAUAACUUCGGGAAACCGGAGCUAAUACCGGAUAAUAUAUUGAACCGCAUGGUUCAAUAGUGAAAGACGGUUUUGCUGUCACUUAUAGAUGGAUCCGCGCCGCAUUAGCUAGUUGGUAAGGUAACGGCUUACCAAGGCAACGAUGCGUAGCCGACCUGAGAGGGUGAUCAGCCACACUGGAACUGAGACACGGUCCAGACUCCUACGGGAGGCAGCAGUAGGGAAUCUUCCGCAAUGGGCGAAAGCCUGACGGAGCAACGCCGCGUGAGUGAUGAAGGUCUUCGGAUCGUAAAACUCUGUUAUUAGGGAAGAACAAAUGUGUAAGUAACUAUGCACGUCUUGACGGUACCUAAUCAGAAAGCCACGGCUAACUACGUG
rnacentral:rRNA from 1 species